rnacentral:rRNA from 1 species
UGGUGACCAUAGCUGAGUGGAACCACCCGAUCCCAUCCCGAACUCGGAAGUGAAACGCUCACACGCCGAUGGUAGUGUGGCACCGUCCAUGCAAGAGUAGGUCAUCGC